rnacentral:rRNA from 1 species
GACGAACGCUGGCGGCGUGCUUAACACAUGCCAGUCGAACGGAAAGGCUCUGCUUUGGUGGGGUGCUCGAGUGGCGAACGGGUGAGUAACACGUGAGUAAUCUGCCCUUGACUUUGGGAUAACUUCAGGAAACUGGGUCUAAUACCGGAUAGGAGCUCGUUCUGCAUGGUAGGGUGGGGAGAGUUUCGGCGGUGGGGGAUGGACUCGCGGCUUAUCAGCUUGUUGGUGGGGUAGUGGCUUACCAAGGCUUUGACGGGUAGCCGGCCUGAGAGGGUGACCGGCCACAUUGGGACUGAGAUACGGCCCAGACUCCUACGGGAGGCAGCAGUGGGGAAUAUUGCACAAUGGGCGGAAGCCUGAUGCAGCAACGCCGCGUGCGGGAUGACGGCCUUCGGGUUGUAAACCGCUUUCGCCUGUGACGAAGCGUGAGUGACGGUAAUGGGUAAAGAAGCACCGGCUAACUACGUG